rnacentral:rRNA from 1 species
CCUACGGGAGGCAGCAGUGGGGAAGAUUGCACAAUGGGGGAAACCCUGAUGCAGCGACGCCGCGAGAGUGAAGAAGUAGUUCGGUAUGUAAAGAUCUAUCAGCAGGGAAGAAAAUGACGGUAACUGAUUAAGAAGCCCCGGCUAACUACGUGUCAGCAGCCGCGGUAAUACGGAGGGGGCAAGAGUUACCCGGAUCUACUGGGUGUAAAGGGAGCGUAGACGGCAGCACAAGUCUGGAGUGAAAUGCCUGGGCUUAACCCCGGACCUGCUUUGGAAACUUUGCAGCCAGAGUGCAGGAGAGGUAAGUGGAAUUCCUAGUGUAGCGGUGAAAUGCGUAGAUAUUAGGAGGAACACCAGUGGCGAAGGCGGCUUACUGGACUGUAACUGACGUUGAGGCUCGAAAGCGUGGGGAGCAAACAGGAUUAGAUACCCCGGUAGUC